AGGCUGGAGGAAGUAAGUCAAGGUCAUUCCAUGGAAGCUGGGUUUGGCUUUGAACUCCAAUUCCAGAACCUUAGGCUCAGAAACCAACCUGCCCCACCUCAUUUUGAAAGGACAUGAGAAAUAACAGAUGGGGGGCCAGGUGGUGGCGCACCUGGUGUUGCAGUGCUCAAGGACCCAGGUUCGAGCCCCUGUCCCCACCUGCAGGGAAAAGCUGUGUGGGCAGUGAAGCAGGGCUGCAGGUGUCUCUCUGUCUCUCUGUCUCUCUAUCUCCCCCUUCCCUCUUGAUUUCUGAAUGUCUCUAUCUAAUAAAUAAAAAUAAUGAACAAAAAACCGAAAAGAAACGAAAGAAAGGAAAGGAUGGAGGAAGGAAAGAAGGAAGGAAGGAAGGAAGGGAGGGAGGGAGGAAUGAAUGAAGGAAGGAAGGGAAGCUAGCCCUGCUCCCACCACAAGCCAAGUCCCUCUUGACCAUCAGCCACCGGCCACCUGACCUGACACCCUGCCCCAGCCCACCCCACCCUUGGUCCCGAGUCCUUUGUCUGCUGUCACACCUAAGAGACCGUACCAGAGUGUCCACUGUCCAGGGGACCACCAGGUCCCCAGUGAGAUGACUAAGGAAGAAGGAAGGAGGCCAAGGAGUUGACUGCACGCGUCCACAGCUGAUGCCCUGCAUCUGAGAGGCGGCCAGAAGGCCUCACGCUGAGUGAGAUGAAGCGGCAACAGCAAGAAACAGAGGGAGGGAGAAAGGAAGAAGGAAACAGAAUCAGAAGACAGAUUCCAAAUCCAGCCCUCUGCCCUCCCGAAACCCCCACCUUGCUCUGUGAAGUGGGUAGAUAAUUCUCGGACCCCUGUGGUGGGCGACAAGGCAACAGGAGCUUUGGGAGUCCGGCGGGCAGGGGGAGAGAGGACUGAACCCCGAAGGCCCGGCUAAGCUCUGAGACCCGCGUGUGCCCAGCCCAUCUGUGCAUGGUGCAGUGCAACGUGGGAAACACAAAAUGGGUCCCAUCUCCUCUCCCUUCCAAGUCACACCUGCACCUGUUACUCCAUCUGGAUGAGCCUCCAUGUCUCUCCUCUCUCUCCUGGAGUCAGAGCCCUCUGGACAUCUUCCCGACAUUUCUCCCUCUGGGAGCCCAGACCCAAACUCCUAUGGGAAGCAGAGGUGGGAGUUCUGGCUGCUGUCACGGGUCUCCACCGCUGUCACUCACCCUCAGCCCCCACACACACUCAC